rnacentral:rRNA from 1 species
GGCAGUAUCACGGAGAAGUGCUGAAUCAAUUCAUCUUUGCGAAAGCCGGCUUGCCGGCGUAUUUUGACGAACAACUGCCCUAUCAGCCAUGAUGGCCGUGUAGUGGACUGCCAUGGCGUUGACGGGAGCGGGGGAUUAGGGUUCGAUUCCGGAGAGGGAGCCUGAGAAAUGGCUACCACUUCUACGGAGGGCAGCAGGCGCGCAAAUUGCCCAAUGCCAAAACAAAUGAUGAGGCAGCGAAAAGAAAUAGGUGCCCCAAACGCCUAGUGUGUUUGGGGCUUUCAAUGGGGGAUAUUUAAAACCAUCCAACAUCGAGUAACAAUUGGAGGACAAGUCUGGUGCCAGCACCCGCGGUAAUUCCAGCUCCAAGAGCGUAUAUUAACGCUGUUGCUGUUAAAGGGUUCGUAGUUGAACUGUGGACCGCGACGCCGGGGUCACGUCCUUUUCCCACGGAAUAGGAAAGCCCCGAUCGCGGCCCGAGAACGUCAGAAACUAAGAUCACGGAAGUGUUUUUCCCGCCGGAUACGCGAGCAAUGCACGCAGGCGGGCGUCCGUGUUCAUUACCGUGACUAAAAAAGCGCGACCAA